AUUGAACGCUGGCGGCAGGCCUAACACAUGCAAGUCGAGCGGCAGCGGGGGGAAGCUUGCUUCCCCGCCGGCGAGCGGCGGACGGGUGAGUAAUGUCUGGGAAACUGCCUGAUGGAGGGGGAUAACUACUGGAAACGGCAGCUAAUACCGCAUAACGUCUUCGGACCAAAGUGGGGGACCUUCGGGCCUCAUGCCAUCAGAUGUGCCCAGAUGGGAUUAGCUUGUUGGUGGGGUAACGGCUCACCAAGGCGACGAUCCCUAGCUGGUCUGAGAGGAUGACCAGCCACACUGGAACUGAGACACGGUCCAGACUCCUACGGGAGGCAGCAGUGGGGAAUAUUGCACAAUGGGCGCAAGCCUGAUGCAGCCAUGCCGCGUGUAUGAAGAAGGCCUUCGGGUUGUAAAGUACUUUCAGCGGGGAGGAAGGUGUUGAGGUUAAUAACCGCAGCAAUUGACGUUACCCGCAGAAGAAGUACCGGCUAACUCCGUGCCAGCAGCCGCAGUAACAC
rnacentral:rRNA from 1 species